rnacentral:rRNA from 1 species
UNUGAAGUUAAAGGCUGUGGCUUAACCAUAGUACGCUUUGGAAACUGUUUAACUNGAGUGCAGAAGGGGAGAGUGGAAUUCCAUGUGUAGCGGUGAAAUGCGUAGAUAUAUGGAGGANCACCGGUGGCGAAAGCGGCUCUCUGGUCUGUAACUGACGCUGAGGCUCGAAAGCGUGGGGAGCGAACAGGAUUAGAUACCCUGGUAGCCCACGCCGUAAACGAUGAGUGCUAGGUGUUAGGCCCUUUCCGGGGCUUAGUGCCGCAGCUAACGCAUUAAGCACUCCGCCUGGGGAGUACGACCGCAAGGUUGAAACUCAAAGGAAUUGACGGGGGCCCGCACAAGCGGUGGAGCAUGUGGUUUAAUUCGAAGCAACGCGAAGAACCUUACCAGGUCUUGACAUCCCGAUGCCCGCUCUAGAGAUAGAGUUUUACUUCGGUACAUCGGUGACAGGUGGUGCAUGGUUGUCGUCAGCUCGUGUCGUGAGAUGUUGGGUUAAGUCCCGCAACGAGCGCAACCCUUAUUGUUAGUUGCCAUCAUUCAGUUGGGCACUCUAGCGAGACUGCCGGUAAUAAACCGGAGGAAGGUGGGGAUGACGUCAAAUCAUCAUGCCCCUUAUGACCUGGGCUACACACGUGCUACAAUGGCUGGUACAACGAGUCGCAAGUCGGUGACGGCAAGCUAAUCUCUUAAAGCCAAUCUCAGUUCGGAUUGUAGGCUGCAACUCGCCUACAUGAAGUCGGAAUCGCUAGUAAUCGCGGAUCAGCACGCCGCGGUGAAUACGUUCCCGGGCCUUGUACACACCGCCCGUCCCACCACGAGAGUUUGUAACACCCGAAGUCGGUGAGGUAACCGUAAG